rnacentral:lncRNA from 1 species
CUCAAUAAGCUUCCUCUCUUCACUGCUCAACCUUUUUGGAAUUUCAACUUGUACACGGACCAACUGAUCACCCCUCAUGUUGCUUUUAUUUAGAACAGGGACACCUUUCUUCGCCAUUACAAGGGUGGUGUUUGGUUGGGUCCCAGAUGGUAUCUUCAAAUCAACCAUACCAUCCACUGUUGGUACCUUGAUCGUUGUUCCCAGAAUUGCGUCUAUAUAUGACACUUUGCAGGAAUACAAUAUGUUGGUAUCAUCACGUUUUAGAACAGGAUCUGGGAUAACUUCAAUAACAACAAAGAGAUCACCAGGAGACCCACCUCUCCUUCCAGCAUUUCCUUCAGACCGGACCCUUAAACGGCUACCAGAGUCCACACCAGCCGGAACUUUCAAACUGAUCCUUUUUGUUCUCC